AGGAGCCCUGGAAGGGCAGCCAGGACUCGGGGCACUCUUCACAGGAGCCUGUGUGGUGGCGAGAGUCAAAGACGUGAACUGCUCCUGGUAGAGCGGACGGAAGAAACCCAGGGUGGGGAGGGGGCAGGAAGUGGACCCCAGAGGUCUAGAGGCGGAGGCAGAGAGAACAGGCCAAGGUCAAGGUGCAGGAUAGUGCGGAUCAAGGAACCCCAAGGCCCACAGUUCUUUCAGGGCACUCUCUUGCUGGAUCAGCUUCGCCUGCGCCUCCCCAAGCUCGGUGCGUGUCCUCUGCAGCAGCGCCUGUGUCCCCAAGCCUGGGAAGGAGCGGGGAACGGAGAGAAGGACCCGCGCGAGACGUCCUGGUGGCCAAGCAGCGUCCCUCGCUCGGUGGAGGCUGUGGAGAAGAGGCUCCUGCAGAAACUAGGACGCUCAGAAUGAGGGCCCACAGAACUGUGGCUACCACCAGAAGCAGGCCCAGGAAGAGGAGUCGCCGUCCCCAGCUUCCCCGGUACCCUGGGAUAACACAGAUGAACUCCUGGGUCCUUCCUGCUCCAGGACCGC